AUGACCAUGAGAUGCUCUUCAUCCCGGGUUUCGGCAUCGCCUUCCUCCUCCAGCAGCGCCGCGAACGCCUCCUCGUCGUCCGAGUCCAUCGCCGAGCAGACAAAUCACCGAACACCUAGCGGGCGUGGUAGGCGCGCAGCCGUCGGUAACCCGCCCUGCACGGCCGGAGCGCCGGAAAGCUCGCCCAGGAACGGGGUGGAUGAUGCCGCGGCGGAACCCUCUCUCUUUUCCGGCGAGGGAAUGGCCUAUCUAGCGGUGGUUAGGGGGGGGGAGGGUCGGCGCCGGACCGGCAAGGCAGCGGGAGGUGAUAUGUCUCCAACGUAUCUAUAA
rnacentral:rRNA from 1 species